AAGUCGUAACAAGGUUUCCGUAGGUGAACCUGCGGAAGGAUCAUUAGCGAAGUUCGGAAUGCAUGUUCGAUGUUGAUGCUGCCCAGCAAUGGGAUGUGCUCGCUCGGAUGUGUGUCCCUUCUCUAUCCACCCCAUUGUGAACCAAGUGUGUGAGCCGAAGAGAAAUCGGACGCUCGCAUGCAAACCUUUGACAUACCCCAAUGAAGUAUCAGAAUGUACCUUGUGUUAACUCGCACAAAUAUAACUUUCAACAACGGAUCUCUUGGCUCUC
rnacentral:misc_RNA from 1 species